AUUGAACGCUGGCGGCAGGCCUAACACAUGCAAGUCGAACGCGUGGCGGACGGGUGAGUAAUGUCUGGGAACCUGCCUGAUGGAGGGAUAUAACUACUGGAACCGUUAGCUAAUACCGCAUACCAUCGGAUGUGCCCAGAUGGGAUUAGGUAGUAGGUGGGGUAAAGGCUCACCUAGGCGCCGAUCCCUAGCUGGUCGGAGAGGGUGACCGGCAACACUGGAACUGAGACACGGUCCAGACUCCGACGGGAGGAAGCAGUGGGGAAUAUUGGACAAUGGGCGCAAGCCUGAUGCAGCCAUGCCGCGUGUAUGAAGAAGGCCUUCGGGUUGUAAAGUACUGUCAGCGGGGAGGCGUUACCUGCAGAAGAAGCACCGGCUAACUCCGUGCCAGCAGCCGCGGUAAUAC
rnacentral:rRNA from 1 species